ACCCCCCGGCAAUGGGGAAAGAGAAACCUUGUUGAUGGUGGCUUUCUUAUAUCAGUCAUAGAAAUAACAGGUGGCAGUCCUUUGUUCAUCCUAGCUUGAUGCCUGGCCUGGUGGUCAAAGCUUUUUCAUGCCUAGGAUAUAUAA